UACGUAGGGUGCGAGCGUUGUCCGGAAUUACUGGGCGUAAAGAGCGCGCAGGCGGUUUGCCAAGUCAGAUGUGAAAGAGGCCGGCUUAACCGGCAAGGGUCAUUUGAAACUGGCAGGCUAGAGUGCGGGAGAGGAGAGUGGAAUUCCUGGUGUAGCGGUGAAAUGCGCAGAUAUCAGGAAGAACACCCGUGGCGAAGGCGGCUCUCUGGAACGCAACUGACGCUGAGACGCGAAAGCGUGGGGAGCAAACAGG
rnacentral:rRNA from 1 species